CACCAGUAGCAGUUGAAGCUGCCAGCAUGAUCUGAACUUAUCUCUACCAAGGGAAAUAUCAGAUCAUGUGGUAGCCUCAUCCGCUGAUGGA
rnacentral:pre_miRNA from 1 species